CUCGUGGACAUUGCUCAGGUGGAUGUUCCAUUUGUUCCAGUUGACUUCCUCCACUCUGCCACGACGGGAGGAAACAUGCUCCAAUUAGAGGUUAACGCGUGACUCAAGUGAGGGCAGCAUCGUGAGCAAGUGGUUCGCGGUCAUUGACGGUUCUGAAGUUGGGUGUUCAAUCUCAAUUGAGGCCAGUUGCUCCCACACGCACGCACGCACAAACACACACACACACACACUCUAAUGGAAAACAGGAGUUGACCCAAUACUUAGCUUAAAAUAUAUUAAAUAAAAAUCAAACAAUAUAGCAAUAGUAAAACAAAAUUAGAUUUAGGGAAAUAAAUAGGAGGUGGGGGGCGGGGGGACCUGAAGAGAACCAUAUUGCUAAAUUGCCUUUGUAUCUCAUGGUUUUUCUCCACAAGGGGGCGCACCUUCCCCAUAUAAACACCAACGAUCGUCAGCCAUUAAUCAUGUUCCAUACUCGUCUUUUUUUUUUUUUCUAAACCGAGGUCUUUUUUUUUUUUUAAUGUCACUGUCCUGGGGACCUCACCCCACCAGGAGCAGACUGCUCUCCGCCCAUCUCCUCCACCAACAUGGGAAGAUCACAGUUAUUGUCGCCCAUAGUCCGACAGUCAUCACCCCAGAUGAGACAAAGGACAAUUUUUGUGAUGAGCUAGAAGAUGCCAUCCAGGCAGCCCCCGACCAUGACAUCGUCAUUGUCCUCACCGAUGCCAACGCCACAAUCUCCACCCAAGACCACACCCUCCCAGCUGUAACAGGCCCAUUUUUCAUCGACAGCACCAUCAAUGAUAAUGGCCAGCGACUAUACAAUCGAUGCAGAGCCACCGACCUCUGCACUGCCGAUACAUGGUUUCCCCGUAAGCGGAGGCAUCACUGGACCUGGUAAAGCCCUGAUGGAAAAACGAAGAAAGCAAUUGACCACAUCCUUGUUUAACCUACGAUGGAAAAAUUCAAUCAGCAACUGCCGUGUCUACAGUGGUGCACAACUUGGCAUCACGCUCCUCUCCAUUCCCGGUAAACUUUUCAUUCGCAUUCUACUCACCCGAGCUCUACCUGCAACCAGAAGCAGACGCCGCCAACAACAAGCCGGAUUCAUGCCCAACCGUUCCACAAUCGAACACAUCUCUGCUCUCCGACUCCUGAUAGAAAAGGCUCGGGAGUUCAGAAAGGAUCGGCACUUAUUCACUGCUUUCAUUGACCUCAAGGCUGCUUUUGACACAGUGGACCACGGGUCCCUCUGGAACAUCUUAAAAUCCCUCGGAAUCCCAACCAAGAUCACCACACUCUUCAAACAACUGUACCAGGGUGCGGAAAGUUGUGUACGUGUGAAUGGCCAAGAGUGUCUACAAUGCCUCAGUCAUCUCCGUCCUCCUGUACGGCUCCGAAACCUAGCCACUGAAUAACACUCUUGCGGCCAAUCUUGAUGGCCCUCAGGAGGAUUGAAGGCAUCUCGUGGACCGAGCACAUCACAAAUCAGACUCUUAAGAGACAAAACAAAACAGCCACCAGCCUCCCGUUGGUGCUGGUAUAGCCUGCGGUGAGUGCGAUGGUAUGGCCAUGUCAUCCGCCUGCCCCAGGAACACCCAACCCGCACCAUCUUGGCCUUCAACCCCCAGCAAGCUGGCUGGAGAUGACCCAGCGGUGCCCCCCCGCACUCACUGGACGUAAUAGCUCUGGACCUUGGGCCCUGCAAUGUGACCCUGGAACAAGGUCAACACCUUGCCCACAACAUCCAGAUGGAGAGACCCGGUUGCAAGGGUUGGCUCUACAUGCCAUGAAGUGCAAGAGGACUAAAGAAAGAAAGAAAAA